rnacentral:rRNA from 1 species
GACGAACGCUGGCGGCGUGCCUAAUACAUGCAAGUAGGACGCAGUUGCGAACGGGUGAGUAACGCGUAGGUAACUGCCUAGUAGAGGGGGAUAACUAUUGGAAACGAUAGCCAAUACCGCAUAUUAGUAGAUGGACCUGCGUUGUAUUAGCUAGUAGGUUGGGUAAUGGCCUAACUAGGCGACGUUACAUUGCCGACCUGGGAGGGUGAUCGGCCACACUGGGACUGAGACACGGCCCAGACUCCUACGGGAGGCAGCAGUAGGGAAUCUUCGGCAAUGGGGGGAACCCUUACCGAGCAACGCCGCGUGAGUGAAGAAGGUUUUCGGAUCGUAAAGCUCUGUUGUUAGGGAAGCGGUACUUAACCAGAAAGGGACGGCUAACUACGUGCCAGCAGCCGCGGUAAUUC